GACGAACCGUGCAAACGUUGUUCGGAAUCACUGGGCUUAAAGGGCGCGUAGGCGGCUCGCCAAGUCGGGGGUGAAAUCUUUCGGCUUAACCGGAAAAGUGCCUUUGAUACUGGCGGGCUGGAGGGAGGUAGGGGCAUGUGGAACUUCCGGUGGAGCGGUGAAAUGCGUUGAUAUCUGAAGGAACGCCGGUGGCGAAAGCGACGUGCUGGACCUCUUCUGACGCUGAGGCGCGAAAGCUAGGGGAGCGAACGGG
rnacentral:rRNA from 1 species